CUUAACAACAGUUAACUUCUACUAUCCAAUCUAUUAUCUAGGCAUGGUUUUCCAUUCAGGUUUACUUUUGAUGAAUUCAGUUGGGAUGCUUUACAGCUUGCAUAAUCAGUAUUAUCAUGGUCAAGUCUUGCAUAGGGGUGGGCAUUCGAUUAGACCAAACCGAACCGGUUGGUUCUUCGGUCUUUUCCAAAAUUCAGUUAGUAAAAAACGUGAACCGAUUGGUUCCUUCAAAUUCUUGGAACCGAGAACUUCGGUCUCGGUUAGUUUGGUUCGGUCUUCGGUUCCGACCAAAUGAACCGAGUCACCAGGGAACGCAUAAAAAAAUCGCAAGAUGUAGAGUUGCCUAAAAUUCCGGAAAAGAUCCAAAUUGAAUUAAAAAGGCACAAACAGCAUGUAAUAGGAUUACAGGAGUACGAAAUUCCAAUGCAUAGAAAACCAAUCGAUCCAAGCAUGGACCACACGGGAACAAUCGGAUGAAGCAAAAGACGAAUCUUCCUAUUUGUAUACUUCUAGUCCUAGAUUGGAGAGAGCAUGCACAAGACAAAAGCUGCAGGUAUUUCAAGGAUGGGGACCCGCAGGCCGCACAACGCCGCUAAGUACGCUCAGCUCCAACCGCAUCGCAGACAGCCUCGACCACCUCCGCGACGCCACAGGGGACGAGCGCGCCGUCGCCUUAGAGACCACGUGCUGGCCUGCUGCCUGAGCCGCGACCUCUCCUUCCGCCUAGAGAUGGAGCGUCGGGUGGGGAAUGGGAGGGAGUGGUGCGAGGAUGGGAAGCGGCGCGAGGAUGGGGAACGGGAGGGAGGAAGCAGCGUGAAUCGCGAGGGUGGGGAGAGAAGGGAGCGGCGUGAGUCCGCGAGGGUGGGGAACGGGAGGUAGCAGCGCGAGGGUGGGGUCAUGGGGACUAGGGAAUCGGGAGGGGGGACCGGAACUGAGGUGUGUUAUAUAGUUAGGGUUUGGUACAUGGGCUAAUGGGCCGGCCUAGGCUGAAAUUGUGCUGGGCUGCUGGUUCGGUUAUUCGGUUUUUCUCAGUUAACCGAGGGUGAGAACCGAAUAGACCGAGGUUAGUUCGGUUAGUAUGAACUAGGAACCGAACUGGUAACCGAUCUUUUCGGUUUCGGUUAAUUCGGUUCGGUUCUCGGUUAAUCAGUUCGGUUUUCGGUCAUUUAUGCCCAGCCCUAGUCUUGCAUAAUCAAUCAUAUCAUGGUCAAGUCUGAGUUAGGUCUUGCAUAGAUGAAACAGAUACAAAUUUAUCAUGACCAAUCUAUUAUCUAUGCAUGGUUUUCUGUUCAGGUUUACUUUUGGUGAAAUCAGUGGGACGCUUUACAGCUUGCAUAAUCAGUCAUAUCAUGGUCAAGUCUUGCAUAAUCAAUCAUAUCAUGGUCAAAUCUGAGUUAGGUCUUGCAUAAAUGAAACAGAUACAAGUUUACAAAAUGAAAUGAAAAUGGCUAUGCUACUUAUAAGUAAGCUAUAUUCUAUUUCCAGG
rnacentral:lncRNA from 1 species